CGCACAUCCAUGCGUUUCUGAGGCGCACACACCUUCAUGCACACACCCUCACACACACACACACCAUUAGAUGAGAGAGUGUUAGAGAGUGACUGCAGGAAGGAUUGGUUGGAGCUGAAGGUAACAGAGUGAGAGGAGAGGAAGGACGAUGAAGAAAAGAGGGACAGAAGUUAUACAAGGUAAGGUGGAAGAGCGGUAAAAAAUCCACUUUUCCUUGAAUGUCUCAUUUCUCCUGCCGUCAUCGACUCUAUUUGCCUUUCUUAUGCAUAAUUAAUUAACAGCAAGUAAGAUAUUAAUUUCCUGGAGGUUUUUUCUUUCGGGUGUAGGCUUACCUCAUCAUUCCCCCACACUGCACCGGCUUCUUGUUUUUAUCCACAUACAUGUGUCCAUAAGUUGUUAAAAUAUACAUACUGUAUGUACUGUUGUGUGUGUGUGUGUGUGUGUGUGUGUGUGUGUGUGUGUGUGUCUGUUCAUGCUGCAGGUUGAAGUGAGUGUAUCCCCAGCGAUCCAGGUGUAAUUGGGUUAGUGACAACCAGGACAAUGUGACACCUGCAGGUCUCAGCUGUGCUGCUCCCUGCUGAACUGGCCUGGAGUCAGCUGGAGCUCUGUCAUCUGGACCGGCCUCAGCUGAAACAACCAUUCUGGGACAGAUCCAGGGUUAGAGGCUUCACUGGGCACAACACAAAUAUCAGUCUUUAUACUAACCUCAUGUCUUUUAGCUGGACAGAGGGCAAUAAAGAACCGGAGGACAGAUUUAUGUGACAUCCAGAUUUAAAGUGUGGCCGUUAAGAGACUAUUAGGGUUAAAAAAAAAAAAAAAGUUCUGGGUUCAGUAUUUGAGUUCUACUUAUCUAACACACUUAGCAACGACAUUUCUGCCAUUAUUUAUUACUGAUUGUUGGAUUAUAGACUGGGUGUGGUUUCUGUUACUGGUUUCUGUAGGAAUGAAAGCCCAACAAUCAUUCUGACUCAUGCUGACUUCAACUAAGUUUCAAUUACCCUAAAACUGGCAAAGAUGUGUUGAGGUGGGCUUUUGGCUUCAUAGCAAACAGUUACAACAUACCAACCUUUCUCUCAACUCAGCUGUGCCUAUAAAUGUGCAUAUAAAUCCAACUCUUCAUAUCAUCCUAAUAGAAGCAUUAUAGAAAACUUCUACCCCUAUGGUGUGUAUGAAUAAGUAAAUACUGUUAGCAUGUAUAAUUUUGCUGUAAAAAUGGCCAUCUAAUGCUGCGUUAAAGUCAGCUGUCGGAGCUGGGAAUGACAUUACACCCGAGUUGACGGCAUCCCAGUAAACAAGUCCGAAGAACCAAGAUGGACGCUUACUGUUAGUCGUUGUUAACUGUUAUUAACACUUGCCAGUUGUCGUUAGCCGUUGUCAGCUGUUGUUAGUUGUUAGCUAUAUCAGUUGUAAACAACACAUAACACAGUAUUUUACUCUUACAAACGCACAGUUAGACUUUGGGCAGUACAACAUAUACCACUUAUUUAAUUUCACAAAAACACAACAGAAGUGUGAAUAAAUAAUAUAUUACAAGAGCUUUCACUGUUACUGUUCACUAUUGAUGCACUGAGCUGCCAUCUUGAAUGAUGAUGUUGUCGUCAAGUUGGGGUUGGUGAUGAUUGUCCAAUUUUACGAGUCAGAAAUCCAACUUCAGGGGGGCCUUCCAGAUGAAUUUCCGACUCCAAGCUCAGAAAACCCGACUUCCGAGUACAACUGGAACGCAGCAUUAAUACGGGACCCAAUAGGAAUUUCUAGCCUUCAAUGGCCAGCCUUAAGAUGACACUCAAAGAAUUGCAGUUUUUUGUUGCACUCAAGUAUUUGCCUCAUCUUUAAAUUGAAAGAUGGUUUUGUUUGCUUUUCACUAUCCUACACAGACAUCAAUAAAGAUUUCAAACUUUUUCAUAAACAUCAAAAACUCCUAAAAGGAGCUUAACUAUGAAAAAAAAAAAAGAGUUUUCUCUUUUUACUGGUCAACAGUUGUAUUACAGGUAAACCAUGCACACAGAAUUCUCUCAAAGUUUCCUUCAAAUUUAUUUUAAUACAAUAAAAUCCUUACAAACAAAGAACUGCUAUUUAUGUCCCUCUGGAAAGAAAGAAAAAAACUGUUUGGGGGUGACACUGGCCAAACAUUUCACACACAGGCCCAUAUAUGACGGUUAUGCCUGAAAAUUUUCCAAUAUUUUCAUGUGCUCCACCCCAGAAAUUUUCCAAAAUUACUUGUUGACACAUGUCCCUUACAACAUAAAAUGUUCCCUGUAUAGAAGGGCUGGAAAUGACUCUCCCUUGAUAGAUAGCCUGAAUCUAAAUUACUCUUAAGCUGUUUCUCUGUUGAAAUGAAAAACAUGCAUAAAAGAAAAUAACAGAAAAUAAAAUCUUCAAUACAAUAGUAAAUGUCAAGGACAUUGCUAGGAAAAAAACAAAGGAGCAAGGAUAGGAAAUGGAAAGCUUUAGAUUGAUCUCAUAGAGCUUGUUGCGGUCUAAGUGUAACUGACAAAAAUCCCACAUAGACGCAGCAAAUAAACUCUGCUGGUGUGUGACAGCCUCCUGCAUGUCCUCUUCCUCUCAUCAGGCAGAACUUGUGAUCACAGACUGAUAUCAUCACACAAACGUCUCCCUGUCACAUCACAUUUUUGCUGCUUCUGUCUGACUUCUGUCUCUCCAGGCCCGAGUGGCGGCAGACCAUGCUAACCAGCGCGACGCCAUCGGAAGCUAAUAAAUCAUCUGUGGUUUUAUUUCAGAUUUAUUCGGACCGUAAUGAAGACGCGAUGGGCCCCGGGCUGUAACCGACGGCGACAGGGUGACACUGAUGAAUGGCUGAAGGUGCGUUCUCUACAGUCGGAAGGAGAGGGAGGACUGUCAGGCUGUGUGGGUGUGCUGUGAGUGUGUGUAUGUGUGUGUGUGACAGUGGGUAGGAUCAGUAGCACCCCAGAGAUCGGUUAUAUUACACAUUAAGCGUGUGAUAUAACUGCGUCUCAUCAAAAAUAUAAUAACUCUUUACAAAGACCAUGGACUGCUGUACAGUAAUGCCACAUGUAGUACAGGAAGUCCAAGUGUUGCUGAAAACGGGAGGACCUGAGCUCCAUUUUUUCUGUCUUUUAUACAGUUAAGACUUGGGCUUCUAUUCACACACAGUUAAGCACGCCUGUCUCCUCCUGCUCCUCUCCCUGCUCUCCUCUCUCCAUCUAUGACUGCACGAUACAUGUUAAAGUUUCAGUGGUUCUCCUUUAACUUUGAGCUGUUCAUGCUGGAUUUUAAGUGAGAGCUGUUGGUUCGAGGGGCAGAUUAUGUGUUCUGCUGUGAAGGAAGAAAGGGAUGGAACGUUAAAUUGAUUGAAUAUGAUGAUAGAGAGCAACACGCCAGUUGGCACAGUAAUCGUUCAGUCCUGAUAAGCAAAUUUUUGUGAAUGUGGGGAGUUAGGCUUGUAAUGGAAAUUGAAAUUCAAUCAGUUCCCCAGUCCUGAUAGGAAAGGUAUACUUUUGUUUUAGGUAUGGAUGCUCAUUUUGAUCACAUAUAAUCAUGUACACUUAACUUAGGGUGUAUUGCAACAUAGUGCUAACUGUUAAGUUCACUCUUAUUUUCAAGUUAUCUUAUUACAUAUGUAUUUAUUUCCAAAAUAGAUUCUGUCAUUUCCCAAAAGUUUGCACAACCACAUUGUUGACAAAACUAAAUGUUGCUGUUUUUGCGUCAAAAGUUAACCACACCUUUAUCUGUUGUGGACUAGCUUCCAACACCUUGUGUUAUUGAAUAAACUAACUUGAAUCUUGUGAGUUUUUUUUGGUGAUUCCUGUGGCGAUUUUGUUGCCGUAAACGAUUGUCAUUUUUCCUAUCUUCAUCUGGAAUUGAACAAAGCAUUCCAGGAAUUAAGGUAAUGAAUCUAUCUGCGUCUGUAUGGGAUUAAAAAAUAUAAUAUGUUGAUAGUCAAAUUAACUUACAGUGUAUACUUUAUGAAUCUAGUCAAUCAUAGAACUAUCUCAUUAACAUGCCUUGUGAUAGGCAUUUUUGAUAACAUUCGCUUCAGAUCAUUUCACAUCCUUUGCAUACACUCUCUUUGCUUUGUACCUUACAAUUUCUGCUCCUUGUUUCUGCUGACCCUGCCUUGUAUGUGAAUAGUGCUCUUGGAGGAAAAAUAAUCCCUUGCCUUUCUCUAACUGGAAAACAUACAACUCACUGCAAAACAUAAACUCGCCGUGUGCAUCAUGUCCUGUCUCAGGUGUACUCUUGAGCUGAUCUCAGAACACUCUAGUCAAUGCUUGUUUCCACAGGAGGCACUGUGGCAUGUCUCAGCUUUGUCCCAGCAGUAUCUCCUGCUCUGCUAAUGAUACACACCAUAGCUGUUAUCCUCUGUAUACAUUGUUGUUAUCACAUGAUCUCAAGACACCUGCAAGUUCUCGAGGAGUCCUUAUGCAACCAUAUGAUCUCACACCUGAACUUGCUCAAAGCUGCACUAUGCUGUGUUACAGAAUGAGGCGUGCAGGACAGGGUGUGAAGGACUGAGUGAAACUAAGCAUUGGUUUGUCUCUUUUAUUCAUCAGGUGCAUCAGUUAAUACUAUUUCUUGAUUAAAAUUUUAAAAUUUCUAAAAAACGUACACAAAUCUUUAUAGCAGAGCCAAGAAAGGGAACUUUCUAGAUGCAAGUUUAGAUUUGAUUCCACAGAAUUUUUUAAUUAUGACACAAUGUUUAUGAAAUGAGAAAGUCUUGAGUAAUCUUCAUAUCUAUCUUUAUUUCUGUCCUAAUUAUUAGACGCUGUAUGCUAGUUACUCUGUUACAUUUGCUGCGUUUUGAUUGUGCGCUCUUUGUGCGUGUGUCAUCACAGUCCUCUCUGUCAGCCAAGGACAAAUUGACUGAGCCGACUCAAUGCUUCAAGCCUGGCAGCUUCCACUCAUCUUGUCAAUCAAUGAAUCCAUAUGCAGCUCGUCUCACCUGACACAGUACAGCACAGCACUUUUUAAAGAGCAUUCAACAACAUGAGUGUACAUUAAACACAACACUGUGCCAACAGUAAGACAGAAAGUUUAGCUAAGUCUACUGUAUGUCAUGGACAUGGCCUUGUUUAUAUAGCUUUCUCCCUCAUAGAGGAUGGCAGCUCUAAUCAGCUUAAAUCACAGCGUUUGCAGCUCAUUACAGAAAAAAGGAUCAUCAACAUUCAGCUAAGCAACCACAUGAGACCAGUUAUCUACUUAAUAAGUCAACCCAGAGCACAUUCAAAUGAAAGGGCAAUGUUAGCAAAAACAUGACACUCCAGAGAAAACCAACACAGUUGCAUAUUAUCCUGAAUGCAGGAACAUCACCCAAAAGCAGUUAUAUGUUCCCAUAAAGGUUUAUAAAAUCACACUGCCUCCAUUUACGUAUUCAUCCACAGUAGAUCAGAUUGUAUUAACUCCAGCUUAUUCUAUUAAAAUACCUUUUUCAUCAAUAGCGUGCAUGGUGAAUUUAGACCUCUUUUUCCUCUCGCAACCUUAACAAUUCAAAACUUACUCAUGUAGCAAAUUAAAUUUAAAAAACUAAAACUAAAACAUAAUUUAUAGUUUCAUAUUUGGCCUGGCAGACACUGUAGGACUAUAUAAAUGUCAAAAUGGAUUGUCAGCUCACACAACCAAAGCUCACAUAUUAUACCCUCACACUCUGCAGUCUGAUUAUCAGGCACAACCAAAGUGUUUACAACCUUAGGGGGACGUCUAAAUGACCUAAAACCAGUGGUUGACAGUGUAACAUGCAAAGGGAAUGAGGGCGUGCCCAACCACUUUUCUGCACAAAUAUGAGAGUGUGCAUGAUGGAGAGCUUGGUGACGUUCUCAGUCUGUGGUAUCAGGCCCUUUGAUGAUUGAGGUGAGGCUGGUGCUUGAGGAGAUGGUCGGUACAUUUACAUGACACUGGAGAAAACCAAAUUAUUGCCUUACUCUGAUUAAAACUGGACAACUGAAGUGCAUGUAAAUACCUUAGUCCAACUAAAAUCGGAGUUUGAGAACUCCGAUGAAGACACCCAGAUAAUGCAAUUGGAAUUCGAUUUUCUCUACCAUGUAAGAGUAUGAUCAGACAAUGCAUGUGCGCGUGCGCCACACCCCCAUAACCCUGAAACAAAAACACCAAGGAAGAGGAGUAGCAUGCAUCUGCAAUCUGCAGAAAAAGUAGCGCGUAUAUCAUGUAUGUCAAAACAGCACUGUACGAAGCUCCAUCUUCUUGCUCGAAAAUGCCCAGCAGCAGUUGUAGCCACUUCUGAUGUCUGGCACAAACCUGCUGUUGUUGUUGACGGUUGUAUGGGGUUGGAAACAGCGCCGCUGAAAAGAUCUAUAUCGCCCCCUAGUUUUGGGGAGGAGGACACGUUCACGUCAAUAAUUCAGUUUUCUCAGCUGCAUGUGUAUGCGGACAAGGAGGGAAGUCUGAUUUGAUGAAAAAAAGGAACUAUGAGCUUAGUCUGAUUGAGCUGUGCAUGUAAACACACUGACUGACUGCGAUUUCAUUAUUUUAGCACUCCAAGAUUGGCACCAUAGUGUACCAUAUUAAAUGGUGCGCUAUUGCGUUACAGGCUCCAGACUAAUGACCUGGAUUUUGUUGGUUUUGAUGCUUUAUGAGUCAUUAAGAUAGCAACACACCACCUUUGCACCUGGCCACACCUCUGGAUUUUUUAGGGUAAGUGUAUGUCAGAUUUUAUAAGUACAAAAAGUACAGGGCUUUAAUUCUGGUAUAAUUCUCUGUGCUGGUGGUUGUUUGUACCAUAAAUUUAAAAUACAAAAAUUUAAGCCAAUGUCAAAAUUCUUGGUCUCUGGUCACUGUGAUUGAGACUAAAUGGUCCAUAAGGGUUGAUAUCUUUAUUAAAAGUAUAAGUCACAGUGUAGAUCCACUCUAGACAGGAACCACCUGUAAAAUACUGAAAACAAAAGUUAACCUCCAUGUUACAUUGUCAGCUGCAGGUCUUAUUUGCAGUACAGGCCUCUGGUACAAGCAGAACAGGCUUUGAAAUUAAUUAAAAAGUCCAUUUCCAUGCUGAUGAUGUUUGUUUUUGUGAGUCAUGUAAAGGCAUCAGUAAUGAAUUUAGACUCUUACUGUAAUAGCUAGGACCAUUCACAAAGUUACCUUAAUUAGAUUUCUCUCUCUGCUUUGUUUUUCUUUUUUCUUCUCGCAUUGGUGUUUUGAUUAAAAUUGCAAAAUGUGCAUGACAGCAUGGCAGAACUUUGAACAGAAAAUACAUCAGUCUACUUGGAAGGAGUCUCGGCUGUGAAAGAAAGAAGACGACUUUCUGUUCCCUCUCUUAUUCUGUGAUCUCUCUUUUUAAAGGUCAGUAUAUCACAAUGUGAAGAGAUUAGAUCUGUCUCCAUAGAGCAGCACAUGUAUCUUUGUUUGUCUUUGUUAGCUGAGAUUUUGUUUAGUUGAUCUUACCUGACAGGGACAGAAUGAGAGAAUAUUCAGUCUGUGCAUCUUACUUUUUUCUUUUUUAAUUAGAAUCACAAUUUAUAGACACUUAUUUAAUUUGGGGAUGGUUAAUUAAAAUACUAGAGAUUCAUUCAAUCAAACAAUGUGGUGCCAGUCAAUCUGAUGUAAUCUUAUAUGAUGAUAACUUAAUCUCAGUUAAUUUAUUAAUUUCAUAAAACUGAUUAAAGGCAGAAAACCAGCUUUUGCUUACAGACACCCUUAGCUCUAUUAGUACAACAGACCAUAAAUGCAGUAAAGUCCUUUGACUGUUUUAGUCAUGGCUUGACAAGUUCAUAUUCAGUACCGACCACUGAUACCAGCCUCUUAAGGCUAAAACAUACAGGAUGUGUAUUUGAAGUGUGGCAGCAGCGUCACGCAGCAAAUAGGUUGCCAUUCUGAUCAAUACAGCAAAGCAUACAGAACGUGUAUCAGCUCUGUCGCAGCAUCGUAUCGAGAGCGGCACUGCUAAAGAUACGCGGCGAGUCUGUUUUUGUUGUUUUACGCUUCCAACGCACGUCAAUCCACACAGAGAAGAUAGUUCCAAACAGGAAGUCAAGCACGAAAACCGCACAAGUCAUCUGAUAAAUCUUAAAAUAAAACACCAUAUGCAGACUCCCGACUGUGUAUCAGUUCAUGUAGAUGAGAAAUACUUCCUGGUUAUGAAUUUAUCUGUAGCACAGAACAUUUCAAUGAAACUUUAAAAUCAUGUUGUUUUUUCACAUAAAGUAGAGGCUCAACAGUCACUGAAUUAUAUACAAAUCAGCAGGAAAUGACCACAGAAAGGAAAAACAACCUGGUGUGAUCAUGUUGUUUCCUCUAUACCGAGCCCAGCUGACCGGGGCUGCACUACGCUGCUGCUACGCUCCAAAUAUGUAUCCUGUAUGCGAUACCCAAUGCUGCUAUACGGAGCAAAUACGGAUCCUGUAUGUUUUUGGCUUUACAGCUACUACCUGGUAUGUCAGGCAGAUCAAAUAUGCAAGCAUUAUAAUCAAUGAGUGUGAUUCCACACAAUCCGUCUGCUGGCUGGAUCAGAUACGCAAGGCAGGACGCCACAGCGCAUCGAUUUAGUGCAGUGCAGCACGAGCAGCAGCAGAAGUUGUAAGUGGCUACAGAGAAAAAUACCUGCUUUAUUUUCAAAAAUAAAAUAAAGUCAAUAAAUUGAACUGUUCUUCACUUGAUAAUAGUAGAAGCCAGGGUUGUGGGAUGUGGGUGUUUAUAUACACCGACAUUUAUAUACACUGAUCGGCAGAUCUCAUUCAAUGUCUCACAGGGAAACAUGCAAGAUCUCGUCCAGUCUUGCAAUAAAUAUCGGUCACCUUUCAAGUGCUUCUUCUCCGCUGGCAGAGGCGGAGCGGAUCUGGUGGGCGCUGUAUGCUUGCGUAUUUGAUCCGCCUGCCGGUCCGAGUAAAGCUACUGAUACCAAUAUCAUUUCCAUCAAAGUAACAGCUUAACAUUAGUCUUGUCAGAGUUCAAGGGCUGAGCACAGUAUCAAGAGGUAACCAGUAAAACCUUAACUGAAAAACCAAGACAUGAAGCACAUUAACUUACAAUUUAGCAGAUCAGGACUCCGCAGACAGACAAUGCAACUUUACUAUUCAGUUGGUCACUGAUUCGCAAUGGUGAAUCUUACCACACUACAUCCAGCCGCAAGACUAUCUCCAGUAAAUUAUUCAUGGCAGAGAUCUUAAUCUGCAGCCUGUUGCACCAGCUAAGUAUGCAGACCUAACUCAUUUGGACAUAAAUUGCUUUUGGAUUUAUGCAUUACGAAAGUUAGUAUUCUCACAAAAAUGCUGAAUGACCAUAAAACUCUUCCAUAUAACAUCUCAGUAUUUACAUAUAACUAGUCCUAGUGAGCACCUGCUGGGAUUUCAAUGUUCUUUUGUGUCUGAUUACGGUGAAAUUGGGUCAAAUUUAUAUGAUCACAUCACAACUAUUUUUAGAUCAGCAGUUAUAUCUUCCUCUUGUCAUGAAAUCAACAUUUGCUCUAUAAUUUUGAUCAUUUGUUAUUUUUUCACACAUUUGAAGGGUAACAAUAGUGAUGAUUGUUGUGGCAUUUCUCCAAAGUUUCACGAUUUAUGCAGUGGAGCUUGAAAUCAGGUCCACAAAGACCAAAAACCAUUGUUUUUAUCCUAAAACUUUGAUUGAACUACGGUCCCAGUUUAACACCAAAUUUCUCACACUAGCCUGCAGCCACUGCAUGUUUUAGUGUAAAAAAUGACUGGACUGCAUAUGAAAGAGCGUUAGCAAUGAGAUGUAACCAAAAUGUAUAAGUGAAUAUGCAGCCAGGGUGUCCCACAAGAGCAUCAGACUGAAGACUUAACAUGCAACAUUGAGUGACAGAUGGGAUGGAGAGGAUUUUACCAUGAGUGCUGUUGCCGGCUGCAUAGAUGUCUCCUCAACAACCGCUUUUCUGUAAAAGACAUGCAACUAUGGCAGGCCCUUAACAAAAUAAAAUAAGUUAAAUGAUAGGAUUAUAUGUGUCAGUUUUGGUCGGGAAACUCUGUCUUUUAUGACUCCUGUACCGAAUAGAGGCAUGCUGAGUUCACAGCUUGAAACAAAUAAAAGCCCAGAUUGUUAAUUACAGUUUUAUGGUAUUUAUAUUUAAAAAACCAUAAAAGCUCAGAAUCAAAGUUUGGGUGAUAGCAAACAGACGGUUUGAGACACAAAGACCAAACGUCUCUGGGAGCAGUUUCACAGCAGAAGAGAGAUAAAACUAAAGGCUUCAUUCUGUUUCUCAUUUUUAUCCCUACUUUUUGUUUUCAUGAGCCCCUCUACACUCUGAAAGAUUUAAAGCAGUGGCUAAUGAUAAAAUCUUCGCCUAUGGCAAGAAUCGGACACAUUAUCAGGAGUUAAAGAAAAUUUUAUGUGAAGAGAUGCGACAUCGGCUUGUUAGGUAGUCAAACCAAGACGUCAACAUAUUAGUUUUAAGAAAAAAUUGUUAUGCUUGAAACAACAUUUAACUAGGACAAUAAAAUGGUUGUCAAUAUUUUUAACUCUCAUUAAUAAAGCCAAUCCAUUUGUGCAUUUUCUUUCAUUGUGUGGGUGUGUGCUGCACAUAACUGUGGUGUGUGCAGCUCUGACUGAGUGAAGGCAGGAUGACACCCAGAUUUCUACGGUAUGGAGAAAUUUAAUUACAAUCAUAGUUUUUGUGUCUAAUAUUUUCAAUUUUGUCAAUGUUUCAGAAACAGUGGGUGAAUAUUUGUUAAAAACGUGCUUUCACAUCACUUUAUGUAUCACUUUAGUGUGUGUGUGUGUGUGAGUUUGAGAGAGCGCUCACUCCAUCAGUCUGUCUUUCUAAUUACCGUUGUUUGUCCAUGGUGAGACAACAUGAAGGCUUUUGGCCUCUCUGGCUGACAAUCGCCAUGAAAGGACAGAUAACACACUCCUCCUUUACACCAGACUGGCACCAUCUCUCUCCUUCCAUCUUCAUCACUUCCUCUCUCACACUCUGUUACACUCCUUCACUCUGCCUCUCCACCGCCUUUCUAUUCCUCUACAAAGCCGUCACUCACUCACUGCAGCGAUCACUAACACAGUCUCUUACCCGGUUAUCUCCCCUGUCUGUCCACAUUCUCUCUCUUUGCCUCUCUCUUGUUUCUAAUGCUUUGCCCUCCAGAGUCUAAAUGGAAAGUUCUGAUCUGUUGACUAUAUUUGCAGCGCAGUUUAACAAGCAUUAGCAUACCCUAUGGGUCUUUAAAUUUCAGUUCUCAUAUGAGCAACAAAACACUUUUACACACACAUAACAGAAGCACACACACACACACAGGCGCCUAUAGGUGCACAGAGCCAGUUAAUUAGAGCUGGAGGCCCCUCUCUCCUAACGAACCUGAGGGUAAUUAAAGAGCCCCUGGACACGGGUGUGUCUGCGAGCUGCUUCUAAUUAAGCCCCAGCGAGCUGAUUUAGCUAAUUAGCUAAAGGCUCGAUGUUCGACACCAAAGCAUUCCAGCCCCUCAGAACACAGGAAGUUACAAUGUUCCCACACCGUCCCUGGCAACACUUUCAUUUCCUCAGGCAUUAAUCACCAGAGUUACAACUGUCGUCAUAGUUACUGCAGGAGAGGAGUUGGGGGGGCAGCUGCAACCCUGAGGGUGAGAGGUGUGAACCAGUCAUGUUAAGGCUACUGGAUGGCGGACCAAUCAUGAGCCAGAAGGUAAAUUUUCAUAUCCAAAAGCAACUAUUUAGACCUGCAUGAUAAGAGAAAGGGUGUCACGUGGAAUCACAUUGCUCAAUAUCACAAAAGAUUUCUGAAGUUCAACACACGUAUCGGCUGAAAACCGCAGUUUCAAUGGUUUGAAUUGUGACUUGUACAACACUUGUAUUCGCAAUAAGUCAGAAAUGUUUUUUUUGUCCAUCUCUACAUUGGCGAUGGAACAGCUGAUGCUAUUUUGAGCUUUAAGUGACAUCAUUAAAGUGGUGUGCAGCAUGGCCAUUUAAGCAGGGCCUUAAUCUAAAUAGUAAAAUAUGCAUUAUUGUGAUAGAUUUAGACAUGUGUUCAUUGGAAAAGCUCAAAUCAGAUUAACAAGACAAGUGCAAUUAAGAGUGCAACCUUACAGUGAUAAUUUAUAUACAAAUACUCUAAUAUAUAUAUAUAUAUAUAUAUAUAAAGUUACCAGUGUACUCCCUGAACUAUAUUCUCAAUAAAGAAUAGCUGCUCUAAAAGGGACAGAAGUCAAACCUGCAUAUUAGAAAUUAUUUUAUUUACUAUCUCCAAAAGGCUCCUUGUCAAAAGUUUGCAUGGGUGAUUAAAUAGCCACUGGAAUAUAACACAAAGAUUUUGAAACCUCAAGUAUCAUCAUGAUCCUCUUAGGAUAAGUGAAUCAGAACAGCUCUGACAAAAGGUGCAUAGAGUAAGAGAAGAGCACCGAAGUUAUUUAAGUUCCUCAGUUUUCCACUCUAUGCCAGAGGCUAAUUCAUUAGCUGGUUAAUUAGCUAUUUAGUAACAAUGUUUCCCACAAAAUGAGUUUCUAUUUUUGGUGUUAUCUGAAUGAAGUUGUUCAUUUAUUUGACUAAAAAGCACAGAGAGCUUGUGAAAGGCUGUGCUGUAAAGUUUGCAUUCUUUCUUAGUGGCCUCUGUGGAGUUUGAUUAUGUUUUAGAGUCAGACUCAAGUGGGCCUUUUACAGAUCUGCAGUGUAGUUCUGCUUUAGGAAAGUUGUAUAUCAUUGAAAGAGGUGUUGGAACGAAUGGCCCUCACCUUAUCUCACCAGCUAUAUUCAUCUGAAAACAUCUCCACAACCUGUUUCUGGUUGAGUCAUUUUGCUUGGGGGAAAAUUAGAUCAGUCAGGACAAAAGGGGUAAAUGGUGCACAAUUUAGAUGUUUCCAAAACAGAACUGAGGUUUAUGUUUUGCAUUUAACUGAACAAGCAAAAGUUGUGUGAAUAAUUUUAGAAAGUUAAAUGUCAAACCCAGAAGUCACAUCUCCUCACAACUGUUCGAGUACCAGUGUUGGACAAUGCUGCUUACGAAAAUAAAGCCUGACUUGUGCUUCGCCAUAUCAUACACUGUAGGUCUGAGUCACCUGUCUUCUGUGCAGAAGCCUACAUGCUUAGUCCAGUGCACACCUUGUCAAAAACGUAAAGCAGACCAGCCCUGAGACUGGUCUGCUGGGCAGUGGGAUUUUCAGGUAUCACCCCUUUUCUAAGUCUUCCUACUAGGCAUCCAUAUAGUCCAUGUGUCCCCAAACCCCUUUCCCCCCUUUCCUCUGUGCAAGAAUUGCAGCCUGAUCAUCACAGUAUAACAUAUAUUAGCUCGAUAUGUGUAUCUCAAAUAUGUAAUGCUCAGAUUUAUUUGUCAUGGUCUGGACACAAGGAGGGAAUGUAGCGGGACCAGAAAGUAGGGAUGUGCCAAGUGUGCUGACUAGCAUUCAGAUUGAGCAUUGCAGAGUGGCACAGAUAUUUGGAGGUAUGUAGGGUCAUGGUGUAGGUCUGACACAGAAGCUUAAACCAGGCUUCACCUGCUUGGAGAUUACUGCCACUUCAUAGUAACUCAUUGUAUACCUGUGUUAAUAAAGUAGCGCUGUGGAGUACUCAAGUAGUCAUUGCUGUUUUAAAACAGUAGCACUUCCAGUAUCUUCUCUCUCUUUUACAGACAUCAUUUUAGCUCGGAGAUGUUUGUUCAAAUAUGAAAUUGAGUUUAUAGCAGCGGACAAGCUUUUGUCACUGACAAACAUUUGUUUUCAAAUGACAUUAACAUUGAUACGCAGCUACAGUUCAGUUUUUCCAGUUAAGGAUUACUUAAACUGCAGAAGAAACACAUUAAAUGAGAAAUUAAAGAACCCAACAAAUUACUUUGUAACAUGUUUCCCUAAACCAGGGGUGGGCAAUCAUGCGCCAUGGAGGGCUGAGAGGCUACAGGUUUUCUUUCCAACCCAAAACUCCACCAAGUGAUUUCACUGAUUAGUCUCUGCUCUCUGCUUGAAGGUAAGGUAAUCAGUGAAAUCACCUGGUGGAGUUUUGGGUUGGAAAGAAAAUCUGCAGCCUCUCAGCCCUCCAUGGCACAUGAUUGCCCACCCCUGCCCUAAACAGUGACAAAGAGCAUGAUCGUCAGAUUUUUUUUUUUUUUCUGAAAGUUUCAAAAAUAUUGAUGUACAAGGCCCGAUGAACUGAGGGACUAUCUAUCAGGUAUUAAAUCUGAUUCAAAUCUAAAAAACAACGUUUAAAAUAUACUUUAACAUUCCAUGCAUAGUCAUAGGAUUACUUAGUCACUGUAAAUAUAUGUUGUUUGUGCUUGUUUUGAAAUUGUGAAAGUUGUUUAACUCUAGAAAUAAGAUGUUAAAAUCAGUCUGUCAUCAGCAUAAUUUUGAACAAUUGCAGAAAAACAGCAGUGCUGCUCUCAUAUCACAGGAAUUAUGGUAUUAUGAAUUCACAUGUUUUACAAGUCCUCCUGGGAAUCAAGAAAGUUUAAGGAGCAAAUACAUUCCAGAGAAGAUGUUCAGAUAAUUUCAUCUGCUUUCCCCCUUUAUCACUUCUUUCCUCCUUCUUUCUAACUCAGCAUCCAACUUCAUAGCCGGAGCGCAUCUGAUCCCCCUUCAUUUCCGCAGUGGGAGAGAGCGAGCUGGCGUUGGCCGCUGAGGCCCUGAUCAAUCAUGAUCUAGCACGACAGAUUGUAUUAGAGACAGAGAGAUGGAGGGAUGGAGAGAUACAGAGGAAGAGAGUGGGGAAUAUAUAAGAUAUUCAGACAUCGGUAUUCUUCUUUGGGAGCUGUGUGUGAUUUGUCGACAUGACCAGAUGUGAUCAGGAGAUGGUCAAAGGAAAAAGAGAGAGAGGAGGGGGAUGAGAGAUGGGGGAAAAACAUCCCCAGCCCUGUUCGUUAUUAAGAGAUUAAAUCCCAUCUCUGACAGACUUGUCACUGCUGGAGACAGAAUUGAGCACGGCCGGUAAUUUGACUAGUUCCCUAUCUCCUCGCCGCUCAGUUGGCCGAUGACAGCAAGGCGACAGAGCGUUGAAUAUGCAAGAUGUCUCUCCUUCUAUCCCUCUAAACUCUGCCGUCUAACUCGCUUGUGAGUUCUGUCAGAGCCACCUAAGAGACACAUGCACUCACAAAAAGUGUACGUAGACACACACACUCAACUGCAUAAAAUUGAAGAUUUUCAACCAUUUGCAUCCUCACGAAGACAUUUGACUUCCCAGGAUAUUGACAAAUGGCGGCUUGCAGGUUCAGGUCCCUCAUUUUUAAAACCUUGCAAUAGCUUCCAUUUCGUGAACGUGUGACAGUUUCUGUUAGCCUGUUGUGCAGAUCCUCCCCGCACACCCACAGUGACUCCACUCAGGCCAGGUGUUAUUUUAACAUUCAUUUUCAGAAGAUGAACGAGGGUCGUUUUUCCUCCUCCUCCUGCUAUCUCACACAUUCUCAUCACUCGUUCUCCUCUCUCUCUCUCUCUCUCUCUCUCUCUCCAAUCCCAUCCCUCCUGUUGGAAAAGCCUGACCCAGUAUUACUGUGACAUUAUGGGGCCACUUACCGCCCUGCUAAAAUAAACCCCAGUGAAGGAGCCGCAUGACAGAACGGGGUUACAACAUGCCGUCGAGCAAAUUAAUCAAACAAAUAAACGAGGAAUUUAGACUUAAACAGGAAGGAUCUCUCCCCUCCCCUCCCGUCCCCUCUUGUCUCUCUCGUCUUUCUUCUCAUGUUUGUUCUCAUCCAGAGACACUUGCUGAUUAAAACACAGCCAUACAUGUGCACACACACACACACACACACACACACACACAUGCAGAUAAAGCUACCCACCAGAACAUCUUCGGUCAGAUUCACCCAUGUCUUUGUUGUACAGCAGCUUGAACUGCUGCUAAGCUUUUCUGCUGGCACCAAAAAGCAGCUAGAAAUACACCACAUUUCUCGAUUUAAAGAAUGUCAUCCAGAUUUUUGUCGAGCAGUCUCUUCCCAUUGGUCUUGUCAAACUUCCCACAUUUCAUUGCCUUUCAGUCAACAGAUUGUAGUCCUCUAACUCUGUCAUGCUAACAGAUAUGACAGCUGUAGCAUAACUAAUGAACACGGAGCUCAUGUUGCGUUCUGUUGCAUGAUUUUGUAUCGAUGCAACGCUUGCUAAGGAUCAUUAGUUUUCUUUUUUUUUUUACUUUGGUGUGCAGUAGACUCAAGCACACAUGGUCAAAGAAUCAAAUGCUAACCACAAAUCACUCAAAGCUUUCAACAUAGAUUUUAGUCUGGCAAUUCAGGCAACCUCGUAGACAAGCAGUACCCCAUCUCUUUGGAGCUGAUCCUGUUUUUAACAGCCAAAAGUAUUGCUACCAUUACUACCUGAUUCUUACCCACAGUAAAUGUAAAAACUUUACUGUGCAAUCAUUCUGUCUGACACCUAACCCCCUGACAGCAGUUCCAGACACUGAAAACACACAGAAAAAGUCUGUCUAUAUUUGAUGAUGAUGACCUGAUUUGCUUUUGUGGCCCAAAAAACAUCUGUCCUUUUCACGACCAUUUAUAAAAAAAAAACCUCACAUGACCUUUAAAGCAAGUUCAAUAAAUAACAAAAUACUGUAUUUUUCGGAUGAUACAGCACACUUAAAAUCCUUAUAUUUUCUCAAAAAUUGACAGUGCGCCUCAUAAUCCAGCGCACCUUAUGUAUGAUUACUUGUUGUGCUCACUGACCGAUUUUUUGUAGUACAAUGCACUCAAAAAUCAGUCGAAAUGUGUAAGUAUGAUUUUGGUAAGCAACAAAGCCACGCUGCUCAAUGAAUAUUCGGAGCAUUACAAUACGCUACCUGAUCGACCCCUGAGCUGUCUGCAAGACUGCCUGACUGUAAUGUCUAAACUACAAGUGAUUUCAUGUAAGGCAGCCCAGGCCCGGAGUACGCACUAGCAACAAUAAACCAAUCAAUGCGCCAAUGCUGAAUGCGCCUUACAUCCGGCGCGCUUUAUCUGUGAACAUAGACACGUUAGUUCACACGGCGCCAUAUAAUCUGGUGUGCUUUAUCAGUUAGUUCCCUCUGAUUUCUUUCAGACAUUUAAACACUAGCUAACCAAACUUCCUCAUGAGUUUUUAUUUCUCUCACCCCCAAAUGAGAUAUUUCCCAAAAUUAUCUAUGUAAAUUUACUUUAAGAAAGAUGGGGUUGUUUGAAUGCGACAAAAAAAAAAUCACAAAAAAAUUACCAAAUAUCUUCUCACCUCAAUGUUUUGUGUCACGCUGCAGCCAACUUCUUCAAGACUUCUUUUACAUUUAUUUAUACUACUAUUUAUUCUAAUACAUACUUUUCUUAUCUUUAUUAUUAAAGAUUACCUUUAUUGUAUUAUAUUAUAUUUUGCAAAUAGGACUCGGUAGAAACAUGAUCAGCUCUUUCAAUCACUUCAUAGCUUAACUCACUAAUGCACAGAGAAUACAUGAACAAGUGAAUUUUUCUUCAAACCCAAGUUAGUUCAUGCAAACAUCCAACAACUGUAUCACCUUGCUCUUCGUGUUGCACGCUGGUUGCCAUAGCAAUCACUCCAGUCCCGUUCAGCAUGCAGGAAACAUGUUGAUUAAUCUUGACGAUGACAGUGCGACUCUUGAUGUGGACGGCUCCACAUUGAUCUGUAAUGAAGUCAUUGAGCCGCAUGACGAAUGGAGGGGAAGGAAAUGUGUGAGCGCAUGAUUAAUGAAAUAAUUAAUUAACUAAUUGGAUUGACUUCAUUAAAUAUUUUUCAAUCCUUGAAGUCAGAGAAAAGUUUGAUUACAUCUUUAAAUGUCUGCGAUGCAAUGAGGUGAGUUCAUAUAAACGGAUCAAAAGUUAUCAAAUGAGCGGGAAUCUUUUUUAGGUUUUUUUUUGCCAAAGAAGCGCCACAUUUUUUAUGUCUUCUCAUCGCAUUACAGGAAGGUUUUUCCAAAGUUUGUGUCAUGAUUUGUUUUUAGGUGAUCAGAUUAAUGAACCUCUUGGGUCAGUCUGUCUUAUGACUGCUCCAAGUCAUGCCAAACACAAUUGCUUUAUGUUGUUAAUAAUAUAGAUGAUUAACUAUCUGAAUGAAGAGUGAAUUCUGUGAUCCUCUUCCCAUUUGUGGGUCUGAGCAUGUCUGGAAAUAGAUUCUGUGAAUCCACAUGGAUUUUUUCCAUCUGCUGCCUGCUGUUGCCGGGUGUGUGGGAUGUUUCCUGGACCUGCUGUCAGGACUGUGAGCUUUUCCAGAGAAAACAUGCAGUAACCUUGGAUCUCCUCUUUGAAAAGCUCCAUGAGUUUUUGCAUACAUCAUACCUGGCAUCAGGGAUUUAACUUUAUACCAACUCAAAUGAAAAUCCCCUUCAGAUCCCCAAAACUGACAUCAUAAAGAGGCUGAGAUUGUGGUUAGUCAGGAAAGCUCAGCAGCAACCUGAAAUGUACUGCGAUGGCACGCCACAGCUGCUCACAAAUGAUGCAAAUAACUACUAAUGUCAUGACUGCAAAACUUAACCCCUGAUCUCCUCUGUCACAUCUUUUCAUCUAUCUCAGGGUAUAAUAUAAUAUAAAGUCAAAAAUCCCAAUUUUUUCUCUUCUUUCCUGAAAUUGAUAUACUGAGCAUACACAGCCCAAAAGUAAGACGUUUGAGGCAGAGCUGCCCAUGUAUGUCACACUAUUCUACUCCAGGCAAAAAUGAAAAUAUGUACUUAUCUAAAUGCUGUUCCUGCACAUAGUCUGGAUCUGUGACAUGACAUCAGUGUUGCUUUUAUACCAACAGUAUAAAAAGAUAUAGUAGAGCCUUGGUUAUUCCAUAUUGUUAACGAUAUGGUCCAUCUGGUCUUCAAACCAGGAGGCUAGACCAUUUUUAAACAUGGUCUGUGGUUUUACCUGCAGCCAUAGCAAAAGCUUGUAGUAACGUCUGCUGGUUCUAGUCAACUUUUGUAUACACUCUGGAUCCUACUAUCACCUGAGUAUAAAGAGUACAAAACAAGUUUUGGUAACACUUUAUUUCACGACUAUCUCUAUAACGCAUUAUAAAUAUAUGUAUAAUACGUUACAAUCACAUUAUAGCACUGUAUAGCUACAGUUAUAAACACUCAUAAAUGAUCAUAAUGCUUUAUAGUAAUAACUAUAUAGCAUUAGUGCAUUAGUCGACUAUACUAGCAUUUUAUCAUGACUUACAAGGUCAGGUAUUAUAAUGUGUUAUUACUGUUAACAACAGUUGUAUUGCAUUAUCUAUUUGGGCAUUGUCAGUGAGUUGUUAACAGUUUUAACACAUUAUAAUAUCUGACCCUGUAAGUCAUGAUAAAAUGCUUUGUAAUGUGUUCUAAUUAUUGCUUUGAAGCAUUAUGAUCCUUUAUGAGUGUUUAUAACUACAGUUUUACAGUGCUAUAACCUGAUUAUAACGCAUUAUACAUAUAUUUAUAAUGUGUUAUAGACAUAGGUGUCAAAAAAAGUGUUACCCAAGUUUUAACAGGACCUCAACAUGAUCUCCUCCACAUACAAAUCAAAGGUUCACACCUUAAUGAUGAUCAUGGCCUUAUGAGAGAGGAAGUGUUCAAAGUGGAGUCAACUGCGUUACAUAUCCCAGCAUGCUUCGUGAAGUGACACAUUUGCUAUAUGGUGCAGUGGCGUGCAGAGAUUGAUGGUAGGUUAUGCUGGCACGCUAUUACGUGAUCAGUACAGUUGCAUGUAUAUUUAAGCCAAGCCACUGCAAUUCCAGUUGAAAAGCACUGGGCAAGAAUCAAAUCAGCUGCAGUGGCGACAUGCCCCCUUACAGCUCAUUACUACUGGUUGCUAACUGGUUUACAAAGCAAUCGACUGAAGUAUUAGCAAGUAGCAAACCAAAUGUAUGUUGAAGGAUGAAAACACUGUCUCAUUUACAGCACAUACAUGUCCCUCUGCCUGCAGUGUCAGUUACACAGAAUCUUAGUUACUAAUGCUGCAUACAACCAAGCUGGAUAUCAUUCCUCCUCAAGUGUCCUGCUGAUUCUUUCUGGUUUCUCCCCUGCCUUGAUUUUAUAUUCCCAUAAUGACCACUUCAACAAAAGAUUAUUACAUGUUAUUGUAAUUAACUGUUCAAACUUAUGAUCUAAUGGAUAAAAUGGAUCAUCUGGUGUUUGUGGGUAACGAGAACAGCGUGCAUAUGUGAGCCUGUGUGUGUGUUUCAUUAUAAUGUGCUUGUGUGAUUAUGUGUUUAUAUGCAGCAUGUGCAGGUCUCACUGCGUCCUAUCGAAGAUGAUUGUGCAUCCAUCAGGAUGCCGUUAAAUAGUGGCCAGUGAGGAUAUGAAACGGCUCUCACUUUGGGGCUAUCGUUGAUCAAUGCUCAUAAACAUUUCAUGUCAUAAUCAGCCAUCGCCGGCACAAUAACACAUCAGCACUAACAGUUCUGGGACAGCAGGACAGCAACACACGUGUGCACACAGGCACACAUGCCGAGACUUUUAGUGUUAACAUCUCUGCUAAACCGAAUAUGUAUAUUUUAUGCAUCACAGCUGUGGAGGUGGAAACACACACAUUAGACAUCUUCCCUCACACACCAUUAAACAAACACACACCAUCAAGCAUUUAGGCAGUAAAAUAGUGUGUGUGCUCAGCGUGUGUGUGAUGUUGAGCUGUGGUCUGGGUGAGGGAUGAAAGAGAGAGACACAGGGAGAGGCUGCCGGGGUGAGGAGGGGGAGUAUUAUCCGGGGAGGGCUUUACAAAGUAAGCCAAUUUAUACAAGGUAUCCCGGCUCGAAUUAGCGGCUAAUGACUCUAUUAGCUUUCAUUUUUGCACCGAGGAGAUUUGCCUGCAUAAAUUAGGGCCUGAUCAUUGGCAAAGUGUCACGGCCAAAGGACAGUUUAUAAAUACAACAGCCAGGCCCUGUCAGCCGCACUGGGCGCUGAUAUAGACGUCUCUGCAGACUUUGUCGUUGAGCGCAACAGACUUGUGCCAGUCAGACGGUGACAGGGGACCGUGGGGGUCCCGGGGGGAGCUCUCUCACCGCCGUCCCUGAAAAGGUCAACUUGACGCGGGCACAGCCCAUCGACCUGCCCCCCUGUCGGCUCCGCUGAUAAAAAUCAGAUAAACUUAAGACCACUCAUCGAUCUGGGCUGCAGAGCCUUAGGCAAAUGUUGGCAGAACCCCCCUCCUCCUCCGCCUUCACCUCCUCUUCUUCCUUCACCUCCUCUUUUGUGCAUAAGAUUACACACAACAAAUUAAAACAAGGGUGGGGGGCACAGAAAGAGAGGUGGAAGAGGGGAAAAUAGAGAGAAAAUGGGAAAGAGAGGGAGGGAUUCUUGUUUCUUUGAGGAAAGGAAGGGAGGGGGGUUCUAUUAAGAGGUGAGAGGAUGAGAAGUGGGAGUAGGCAGGGUAAGAUUAAUCGCAGAAAUUUGAGCAGAGACAGGGAAAUUUCAUUAACUAUGAGAGCACUUGUUAGAGCUAAAUGGUCAGGGAGCGAGGGGAGGUGGGAGGAGGGUGAGAAAAGGUGGAUCUUUAAAGUGGCAGAAAGAGCAGGACAGAGGUUCUUGCUUAUGCAACUUGUGACUUCCUCCAAAAACAGCACAGAUGCCCUAUUUAAUUCUUCCUUUCUUUGUCUUUCCUUUAGAUUGGAGUCUGAGAUGUUUGCAGAAAAAAAGAGGUAAAGACAUAGCAGCUACGGGAAGCGGUGAUGGCAGAAGGGGCCCUGCAGCAGGAAGGAUACAGAUCCGAGCAGAGGGCCAGGAGUCAGAGUCAGAGUGAGUGAGGAGAGACCAAACUACUGCAAAAAGACAGAAUUAGAGCAAAACGAUCAGAGAUGCAGAGGUGAGGAACAUCUGGCUGGCAACCUUGGUGAUCAGACCACACAUCCUCACCGUGUCCCUCUUGCCAGGCUGAGUGUCUGUCUGCUGCCCUCUGCACCCGCACUAUCUUUACACACUUCCUCCCUACAUCACUUUCUCUACAGGAACACACACUGUACACGCUUGCACAAGCACACACACGCACAAACACACUGUCUCUGUGUCUCUCAGGAGGACGGGCAUUACAGCUCAGGGCGAAGAGGUGCAGAUAAGGGAACAGGAGUGUGACGUGAGUGGAGGCCCAUAACCAAAGAUAACAGUCUUACUUUGUGUGUGUGUGUGUGUGUGUGUGUGUGUGUGUGUGUGUGCUAAUGUGAGGUCUGUGGUCGUCAGGGUGUAAGUGGGAAUGAUGAGGGUUACCCCGUUAUCAGCUCUGUCUGUGUCAGCACCUCCAUCUGCCGUCGGCCCUCCUGCCAGUGUGUGUCUUUGUGUGUGUGUGUGUGUGUGUGUGUGCGUGUAUGUGUGUGUCACUACAGGGCGAUAGUUGUCUGGUGAGCAGGAAGUGCAGUCUGGGUCAGACUGGUGACACAUGCAGUGCAGCCUUUUAGUGUCUUGUCUCAGUGUGUGUGUGUGUGUGUGUGUGUGUGUGUGUGUGUGUGUGUGUGUGUGUGUGUGUGUGCGUGUGCGUGUGUGUUUGCAAUCACUGGCCUUUUUUUUUCCAAAUAGAAGGAAUUACAUUUUUAAUAAAGAAAAAAAUAUCCCCAAUUCAAUCAUAAAUACCUCCCACCCCUUUUUGUUAGCUAUCAAACACGCCACUUUUUGGAUUUACUUACCGUGAAAUCUGCACAGUCACCAAAGUUUUUUGAGACACUUAAAACAUUAGACUCAUUUUUUCUUAAAUUUAACAGCAGCAUUAUCUAAUUUUUUGAAACAAAAAGGUGCCAAAAGACAUGAAAAAACAGGUGGAUUCAUCAGCAGAGGAGUUGAGAGUGAGUUUUAGGAUGAAGCCUUGAUGCACAGAUUUAGUCCUCUGCUGCCAACUAGUGGUGAAAAUAAUGAACUGCAGAAACACUGAAUUUAAGGAGGGAGCCUCUUCUCCCCUUUGUCACCUAUCAUACAAAGCAGGUUUAUGAUGCUGUAGCUGCUGUUUGAUGAACUUGUAUGAAUGUAAAAUUGAAUUUAUGAGAAUGUCACUUGUGCUAAAACGGCUUUUAUUCUCUGUUAAGUUUUUGCAAAGCACUACAUUUAAGCCAAGGGACUUAUUGAGGAUUUAAAGAGGGCAGCGCAGCGACUAUUUCCUCUAAAUUCAUAAAAGCCUCUGAAUAUUCUCUGCUUUAUUCAAAACAAGUGAAGCUUAUAUUUUACCAGAGUAAUAUUAAGACAGCUAAAGCUAUUUCUUUGCUUGCAAUAACACCAAACUCAUCCCAGUCUGCAGUCUUUUGGAUUUGCUUCACAUGAUUUUUCAAAUAAAGCAAAUAUUUUCUUUUCUCUCUGUGGGAGAGUUCAACUAGAGCUCUCUGAUAACAUAUGGUGCUCAUUUUUUAAAAUGUCACUCUGGCACUUAUCCCUCUAAUUGUAGCGUAAUGGCUUGGCGUUCACUGCUAAAACAUAUUGUAUUCAUAUUAGAGAUAUCUCUCCGACUAUAGGACAUCAUAAGCAUAAUCCAGCUUGUUUUUAUGCACUGCAAUAAAACUACAAACUUAGCAACCAUAGUUUUUGUUUUAUCUGAGGCUGCUCGUCUUACACAUACACUUCAAAACACCUCAGAUGCUACACAAAAAGUAGACCUGAAUGUAUGUAUGUGAUGCAGAGGCAUGAUUCAUGUGGACAAAUUGUGAAAUAACUCAUAGUAGAUGGGUCAUUAUGAUUACACAGAGUGCUCCCUGCUGGCCAUUAUCAUUCAAGUGCAUCUUUACACUGAAGGACACAGCAAACCCUGUUUGGCUCUGACACUGGGCUAUAAUGUGUGUGUAUGUGCGUGUGUGUAUAUGUGGGGUAGAUGGAGCUUGGAUGGAGACAAAGCUUCUUUUUUAAAGGAAAAAAAGAAACAUGGCACAGGUGCACUUAUUAUAGCAAAGUGAGUUUUUAAGGACACAAGGAUCAACAGUGCAUAAACACUGGAGUAACUCAGUCCACCUGAGUGUAUGUGUGUGUGUGUGUGUGUGUGUGUGUGUGUGUUUAACCAUGAAAGCUGCAGAAGUCUAUUUCAUCAUAAGUUGCAGUGGACAGUAAAAGAUGCAAAUAGGCUCGAUAAAGUAUCUGUUAUUUUUAAAAUCUAAUAUGGAAGAUUCAGUGUGCAGCCUCUCAAUAAAACGCUGCAGUAAAUGGCUGCUGGAUUUAUCUGUAACCAUAACCUGACCAUAAGGUUAAGUGUUCCUAAUAGUUAUAAAUGAGAGGCGGACCGUUACUUUUGUUUAUUGGCGUGCUUUCUUUUAAGGUCCCAUCCCCGAUUCCAGUAAUAUAACAUGUCGCUCUCACCGCGCUGCAGAAUGAGAUUACUCUCUGACAUGGGCCUCGCAUCAUCCUCAGACGAGCCCGCUCCGUGAACUCUUCACCGGGGCACGGCACGGCACGGCAAGGCACGGCGGCGAGACGACGCACGGAGGCG